UAUCCCUCAUUUCCAAGGUUUCUCUCCACCUAAAACACGUAACCCUGUUCCUUCUUCCUCUGGUCCCUUCCAACCUUCCCCCAAAACUAAAGAAAAAAAAAAUGGCUGGAACCGUGGUCGUGGUUUUUGAUCUCGACAAGACCAUUAUCGACUUGGACAGCGAUAACUGGCUUGUGGAUGAGUUGGGUUUCACUGAUCUCUUCAACCACCUCCUUCCUACCAUGCCAUGGAACUCUGUCAUGGACAAGAUGAUGAAUGAGAUCCACGCGAAGGGGAAGAAGAUUGAGGACAUUGAAGAGGUUCUCAGACGGACUCCGAUUCAUCCCCGGAUAGUUCCUGCCAUUAAAUCAGCUUAUGCUUUAGGGUGUGAAUUGAGGAUAGUGAGCGAUGCAAACCUGUUCUACAUAGAAACAAUCUUGAAACACCACGGCAUAAGCGAAUGCUUCUCGGAAAUCUACUCAAACCCGGGCUAUGUGGACGAGGAAGGCAGGCUAAGAAUCCGCCCGUACCAUGAUUUCCACUCUUCUCCCCACGGCUGCAACAAUAUUAAUGUUUGCCCUCCCAACAUGUGCAAGGGUAAGAUUAUAGAAAUGAUUGAAGGCUCCUUGGGUAAGGAAGGGAAGAAAAGAAUGAUCUACCUUGGUGAUGGGGCUGGUGAUUUCUGCCCCAGCCUGAAGCUGAAAGAGGGAGACUUUAUGAUGCCAAGGAAAGAUUUCCCAGUGUGGAAAUUGAUAACCGAAAACCGGAUGCUCUUAAAGGCUGAGAUUCAUGAAUGGAGUGACGGUGAAGAGCUCGAGCGCGUCCUGCUUCAUCUCAUUAACAAGAUAAUCUGCACAGAAGAAGAAGAAGAGAGCCAAUUCUUACCUGCAGCUGAAACCAAGUUCCAGCAGACACCUCACGAGGCCUUACCUAAAGCUAUCCCUGUGCCUUUUUAGUACAGUGCAGGUAGGCCGGCCGGCCGGCCGUCAAAUUAAAAUUAAAGUUACUAGCUAGCUAGUUCGCCCUGAUGGACCAAUGUUGCAAGUAGUCAACGUGCGUGUAGGUGACAAACCUUAAAAUGGGGCGUUUGCUUCAAGUUAUAUACUAUAACUAAAGUUAUAUUUACUUGGAAAUAUAUGAUUCACAUGUUUGGUUUAAAUUAUG